UUUGAGGAAGAAUUGUGUUUCUUUAUUGGACUUUAUUGAUAAUUUAAAUUGUGGAUAGUGGUUGUUAGUUGUUCUUGUAGUUGGUGUCGUUUCUUUUGUGUUUAGGUGGCUCCUCUUGUAUGCCCCUUGUGUGCAUAGGAUACACAAACUUUUUUUUAUUGAUGCUUUUAAUGUAUCUUCUUGUUGCCCUACCAAAAAAAAGUA
rnacentral:lncRNA from 1 species